rnacentral:tRNA from 1 species
GCUGAGGUGGUGUAAUGGCAGCCACGUGGGUCUUAGAAGCCCAUGCCGAAAGGCGUGCGAGUUCGAGUCUCGCCCUCAGCACCA